UCAAUAGGACCCCCCUCCCCCUCCCUUGCUCCACUCUCAGCCCCCCAUUUUCCAGCAACUAGGGUUUUUGCCCCUUUUCUUUUACUGUGGGAGUUAGAGUUGUCCAAUUCUUACCCAUUUCCUAUUUUUACUGUUGUCAUCACCACAUGGUUUUUAUUUAACAUUUUUUUAAAAAAAGUGGAGACAAAAAAGAUUGAGUCUUUCUUGUAAACCAAUAGAAAUUACUGGGGGUUUUCCAUUCUUUAAGAUUGAGCUUAAAGAUUGAGUCUUUCUUGUGAACCAAUAGAAAUUUCUGGGUUUUCUUUUACCAUUCUUGAAGACUGAGUUUAAAGAUUGAUGGCUAAGACUAAACCUGGAAAGAAAGACCUUGAUUCUUACAGUAUCAAGGGCACCAACAAAGUUGUUAGACCUGGUGAUUGUGUAUUGAUGAGACCAUCUGAUUCUGAUAAACCUCCAUACGUGGCAAAAGUAGAGAAGCUAGAGGCUGAUCACCGGAAUAAUGUGAAGGUCAGAGUUAGAUGGUAUUACCGACCUGAGGAGUCUAUUGGUGGUCGCAGACAGUUCCAUGGGGCCAAAGAGCUGUUCUUGUCAGAUCACUUUGAUGUGCAGAGUGCACACACCAUUGAAGGGAAGUGCAUAGUGCACUCUUUUAAGAACUACACCAAAUUGGAGAAUGUGGCCCCUGAGGAUUAUUUUUGCAGGUUCGAGUACAAAGCUGCCACAGGGGGAUUUACUCCUGACCGUGUUGCUGUGUAUUGUAAGUGUGAGAUGCCCUACAACCCUGAUGAUCUCAUGGUACAAUGUGAAGGAUGCAAAGACUGGUUUCAUCCCUCUUGUAUGGGUAUGUCCAUUGAUGAAGCAAAGACAUUAGAGCAUUUCUUGUGUUCUGACUGUUCCUCAGAAGAUGAAACCAAACGUCCUUUAAACUCAUUUCAUGUUUCACCACCUGAUGAAGCAAAGCUUUGAAUAUCGGUGGAUAAAGGUGCCUCUCCACUGUACUUUGACUUAACAAAAACAAAGGACCUUCUCACUGUAAGCCUGAAUUUGAGCUCGUGACCUGCAAUGUAUGUACCUUUAUUGAACCAAAGCUGUGGGGGGUUCCUGAAGGUGGAGUCAAAGCGCAGGAAGAGAUAAAUAGCUGACCUUGAUGCAGUAUGAGGAGGUGCCUGUUUCUAUAUAUUGGAUUACAUGUGAAGCUGGAUGUAUGAUGACAAGCCUGUAAGAGCUGAUCAAGAAUCAUAUUGAUGAAUAAGAACUUUGCCUCAUCUUGAGUUGCAAUAUAUCUGUGGUUAGGAUCUCCUGAUCAAGAAUCAUAUUACAACAACUUACCCAGUGUAACCCCAGAAGUACGCAUACCUUACCUCUUCCUUAAAAGGAAGAGAAGCCUGAUCGAGAAUCAUAUUACAACAACAUAUCCAGUGUAACCCCACAAGUACACAUACCUUACCUCUUCCUUAAAAGGAAGAGAAGCCUGAUCAAGAAUCAUAUUAUAACAACAUACCCAGUGUGUAAUCCCAGGAGUACACAAACCUUAUCUCUUCCUUAAAAGGAAGAAAGCCCUGAUCAAGAAUCAUAUUCGUACUGUACUAAUUCACUUAAAUUUUCCUGGGAACUCGUUGAUCAAUAGUGAUCUCUUGAUAAAUGUCCCUUGCUACAAUCCUUGUAUGUGAUUAAUGGAAGAUUGGGAGACUUCCGCUGCUGAAAAUGAAGAUAUUUAUGCUAAUUGGGCGGCUUUUUGCUUUUGAGUAUUCGUGUUCUUGCUUUCACAAUGCCAUAUAACUUUUGGUUUCCCAGAUGAUUAUGCUCUAUGAAUCUGAAUUUUGGUUCGUUGUAGAACCAUAGAUGAUCAAUUAUUGUAAAUGUGUAUUCUAGUUACCUGUUCAUCAAAUGCAAUCUGAUACUACAAUAGUAUUACUA